GUUGGAUUGAGAUCUUUUGAAACUGUUUUCGUUCCACUAGAAAACUGGUGCUGAUUAUUAUUACCUGGUCUUAUUAAUAGCUUUUUAUUUUUGGCUAGAUUUAGUUAUUGUUGAAAGUCUACGUACCUAAACGUGAGAAUACUUAAACAAAACACGGACGUUGAUGUUAUUGAUUAUUGAAGGCGAACCUUCUAAAAGUCGGGAGAGAGCGCAUCGACUCGUAAAUUCAUCAAUCAUUCCGUAUAAUUGAUUUCAUUUCUACACAAUUGCACAAAAGCGCGAUCUCGUUUUUAGGUUUCUACGAAUUCGAGUAAUAGCCUCUCCUAUCCCCCUAGUGUUAAACUGGAAUACCUGGAAAUGUUUAGAGUUAUCAGUCCGAUUUUGCAAGUCAGCAAAGCAAUUCGCGCCUUGUCCAUUCUCCCAAGCCGGAAAUGGAGUGGAGAAAUAAUCAUUUGUCAUCGGCUUGGCUUAUUCGGGUCGAUCCUGCCCCGGCGACUUAAUAAGCGUGCUGAGUGUUCCAAAGUGUUUAAUUAAUUUAAUUUAAUUUUGUUAGAAAUAAGAAAAGAAGAAUGAACAAACUUGUGGGUGUAGGGGAAGGUCUUCCAUGUCAAAGUAUGGCAGACGUCCUCGCUUGCCGAAUCUGCAAUCAGGAACCCAACGGAAAUGGAUGAUUGGAAUUAACAAUUGACGCGAUUACAUCAUGCGUGAAAAGUUGAAAUAGCUGAAGUAUAAUGGUGCGUGCAAAAUAGGAAAGAAACCUUUGCGGGAGAAUCGCUAGCUGUGAGUUAUAUGUGUGACUGGUGUGAAGAAUUGAGCGGGAAAAAUCAAAAGUCUUUGGAUUUGAAUUUGAGUUGAUACCUGGGACGAACGAGUGAGUUGUCGUAGCGCCGGUCGAGUUGCUUCAGCUGCAGUAACUGGACAAUCUUACCGCCCCUGAUACUGAACAUACGCUAACACAGUUUCAAUGUUAAAACAAUGGACGGCUCUGCUGAGGUUCAUUUGAGAGCAAAAAGGAAAAGUCUCAAAAAACACAAUGAAGAGGAUCGAACUAAUCACUUUGAAUUAGGAUAUACAUGCAAUCGAUGACGGUACACGUCACCUGUCGAUGAAUGUUUCAAGAGAAAAGGUCAAAACGACCACACACAAAGAAAUUUGAAUUUUGUAUUAUACCUGGGCCGGGCGGCUUGACCAUAGACUUUGUCCAAUCCUUGAAGAUAUUUGAUGGCAUCAGCCAUGGCCGUCAUUUCUCCGCCUUCACCUCCGCUCAUGACGUCUCCGCCAUCGGCUUUGGUGGUAGUGACGCAAACGGCCAACACGACCAUCACCACCAGGAAGACCAAAGCGGCCAACGAACAGGAGCGGGGAAGGAAUUGCUGGAUGCUGCUGCUGGACAUUUUGUGGUUGGGUGAGUCUAGUGGAAGAAGAUGAUGAGGGAGGUAGAAGAGGCAAGUGUCGACUGUGUCCUGACUGGGCCAUUUGGCACCUUUUUAUACCCGUUUCCCAUCCCUCUGGUCCAGCGGCGUGUGCCCACCGGUUGACGCAGUCGCGGAUAAAGGAUUGGAAAAAGUCUGUCAGCCGCAGGAUUCCCGCUCAGUUGCAACUGUUUUUGUUUUCCCAACUGCUACGCAAAUGAAGAAUUGCGAACAUGACAACUCAAUGGUAUAAUAACCGCAGCUGCCAAUGACGUCGGAAGACGGCCCCAGAUAUUUACAGACAACUCGAGCCGGAACUGUUGCAGAUUCUACACAUUGGACACAGCACUUGGACACAAAUCCUUUUGGGUUGGUGGCGGCUGCCGGCCGGGAUGGAUUUGACACUCUCCAACACAACAAACCACUUCUCCCACAUACACCAAGAUGUAACUUUUUUGUCCGUUUCGUCGCGUUAAACUGGAAGGGGGGAAAUAAAGUCCCGGAGAAUUUUAAAAA